CCCCACAUGGUUGCCUUUAGGACAUUUAUUGCUGAGGAAUCCCCUUAGCAGUAGUGUCCGUCCCGAUGAUGAUCCUUAGGCUAGGUCCCUUAUGAUAGGUGUUUAGGGACGUAAAGUGAGGAUAACGGGAACGGGUAAUCGGGUUAUUGUUGAUUGAUGAAAUUAAUAAACUUAUUUAUUGUGGGUUGAAAACCCUAUGUGCUCACCAGGCUCCCAAGCCUGACCCACUCAGUUUUAUGUAUUACAGGUAGUGGCGCAUGAGCAUAGAUGUGAUGUUUUGGACGAGGGAUUACGGAUAUAGGCCUGUAGAUAUGAAAUAAUGUAGUAAGGCUUAUAUUGUACUGUUUAUGCUUUUGAUCUGUACGAACAUGACAUCCCAAGUCUUUUAAUGAAAUACAUUUCUAUGGAAAUGCUUUUGAUAAAUCUUUAUCAUAUUUUUGUUUUGGGACAAAUUCCGCAACACUUUCAUUUAAAAUGUAACUCUGAUUUUUAAACAAAGCAUAAACAAACCGGUCUUUUCUGGCCGUGAUUUUGGGGAUGUCACAGUUGGUAUCAGAGCAUUAGUUUAAGCGAACUAGGAAUUUGUAGGAUUUCUAGACUUAAACUUAGAAUGCUAAGCGAUGAUUGUGAGGUGUGAGCACUAGCUUAUUUUAGGAAUUGUGCCUAAAAUGCUUUUAUGUGCUAAAUGCUUUGUGCAUAAUAUGCUGUUAAUUGUUCGGAUCUAUGGUCUGUUGCCGACCGGAUCUGGAAACCUUAUGUGUUUAGGAUUCUAAACGUACGACUACGAUAUUAGAACUAGCAUGUAAACGUUUCGGAGUGAUAAGGACGAUUUAAACGUCUAUCCUAAAUAAAGAUCUAAAUUCACCUUAUUCGGUGUAUAGAUCAAGAUGGCAAGGACCCGUAGCGGAAACGUGAACGCAAAUGGAGAUAGGAACCAACCCCCAGUGGUUCAGCAAAUACCUGUUGUUGAAGAAGUUGCACCUGAGCCAGUCACCAUGGCUGGAGUUCAAGCCAUGAUUCAGGCUAUGCUAGCUGAACAAAGGGAAGAAAUGAGACGGAUGCUCCACGAAAAUAGGGACGAACCUACCAUACAUGUUGAACCGACGGAGCCAGUUCCCGAGCCAUCUGAGGAAGGGAACUAUAGCCGCCAAGUGAGUCAAGUAGGGACUCAAGGUGAGCAAAAGGAUGGCCCAGAAGGGAGAAACAACAAGGAUGGGCGGAUGUACAAAAAUUUCUUGGGUGCGAAACCACCAAGUCUCUCAGGAAGCCCAAAGCCUGUUGAGAUUAUGGACUGGAUCUCCGAGAUGGAGAUGGUGUUUGAGAGCUGCGACUGCAGCGAGAAGCAGAAGACUGUCUUCGCUGUGAGACAAUUGAAAACUGGAGUCUUGAGCUGGUGGAAGCUAUUGGCAGAUACAAUGCCACGGGGAGAAGCUCUGAAAAUGUCAUGGGAUGAGUUCUUGGAACAACUGAAGGCGCAGUACUGUUCAGAGAUAGACCUGAUUGAUCUGAACAAUGAGUUCCAAAAUUUGAAGAAGGGGAGAAUGAGCAUCGAUGACUAUGCUGCUGCAUUUACGGAAAAGAUGAAGUUGUUUCCAUACCUAGUGCCAACCGAACUUUCCAAAAUUGAGAAAUUCGCAAACGGACUGCCGGCUGACUUUGGCCCAACAGUCAAGAUGGCAACCACUCUGAAAUCAGCUGUUCGAGCAGCUAAGAACGUGGAGACCCAACAAAAGGAAAGAGGUCUGGAGAGGGCUGAGGUUGGUGAGAAACGGAAGUUCAAUGGAUCCUCGAAGUCCAACAAGAAGAGUAGAUUCUCGAAGUCUGGUUCGAGGGGAGGAGGAUCAGAAGCGAAGUGGUGUGACAAGUGCAAGAAGAAGCACUCUGGGAAGUGUGACGGAGGGGUCACUUGUUACAAGUGCGGAAAGCCUGGGCACUACGCCAAUGAAUGCACCCUCAACCAGAAAGCCUGUUAUGGGUGCAAUGAAGAAGGGCACAUUUUGAAGGACUGCCCGAAGAAGAAGGAGACAGGAAGACCCAACAUACCACCGAAGCCGAAGGCGAGAGCCUUCCAGAUGACGCUCGAGGCUGCAAAGGAGGCAGCAGACGUCGCUUCAGGUACCUUUCUUGUAAAUGGUUUGCCUGCAAAUAUACUAUUUGAUUCCGGAGCCAACUACUCCUUUGUGUCGCAUAAAUUUGGUGGGAAAUUAGCAUUGCCUGUAGAAAAACUAGAUAAUGCCCUGAUUGUAGAAGUUGCCAGUGGCAAAUUCGUACCUGUUAGUAAUCGUAUUAGGAACAUCGUCAUUGACCUAAACGGAAACGAAUUCCACGAAGAGCUAUUACCCAUAGAGUUAAACGGUUUCGACAUCGUUUUGGGUAUGGAUUGGCUUAGCGCCAACGAUGCUGAGAUUCAAUGCCGAAAGAAGAUAGUAAAGGUAAACCCACCCGGAAAAGAAUCAUUUAUGGUGUAUGGGGACAAACGCAGAGUGAAUUCUGGAAUCAUCUCCCUGAUGAAAGCCAGGAAAUGUUUGUCCAAAGGAUGUGCAUCAUACUUGGCAUUCGUAAUCGAUGCCAAGAAGGAGAAGAAAGAGGUGCAGAAUAUACCGGUUGUGUGUGAUUAUCCGGAAGUCUUUCCCGAAGAUCUUCCCGGAUUACCACCUGAUAGGCAAGUGGAGUUUCGUAUAGACUUGUUACCAGGAACAACACCGAUAGCAAAGGCACCUUACCGAUUAGCACCGACGGAGAUGAAGGAGCUCAUGACGCAACUUCAGGAGCUGUUGGACAACGGUUUUAUUCGACCUAGUUCAUCACCCUGGGGAGCUCCGGUGUUAUUCGUGAAGAAGAAGGACGGAAGUAUGAGAAUGUGUAUAGACUACCGAGAGCUGAAUAAGGCAACGGUGAAGAACAAGUAUCCAUUGCCGAGGAUUGAUGACCUAUUCGAUCAGCUGCAAGGUUCGAGCUACUUCUCAAAGAUCGAUCUUAGGUCAGGAUAUCAUCAGCUAAAGGUGAGAAAGCAGGAUAUUGAGAAGACUGCAUUCAGAACGAGAUAUGGACACUACGAGUUCUUGGUUAUGUCAUUCGGGCUAACCAAUGCUCCCGCAGCAUUCAUGGAUUUGAUGAAUAGGGUUUGUAAACCAUUCCUCGAUAAAUCCGUGAUAGUGUUCAUCGACGACAUUCUCAUCUACUCGAAAAGCCAAGAGGAGCAUGGCAAGCAUCUACGGGAAGUAUUAGAAGUGUUGAAGAAGGAGAAGCUUUUUGCAAAGUUCUCCAAAUGCGACUUUUGGAUACGGGAAGUCCAAUUCUUGGGUCAUGUUGUUAACCAGGAGGGAAUAAUGGUUGACCCCGCAAAGAUCGAGGCUGUAAUGAAGUGGGAACGUCCAAAGAGUCCCACGGAGAUUCGAAGCUUUCUAGGAUUAGCCGGAUAUUAUCGACGAUUUAUCCAAGGCUUUUCUUCGAUAGCUGCUCCAUUAACAGCUUUGACUCAUAAAGGAGCUACGUAUACGUGGAGUGAGAAACACGAUGAGGCAUUCGAGAAGCUAAAGAAGAAGUUAUGUGAAGCACCGAUACUUUCUCUACCCGAUGGAGUCGAAGAUUUCGCGGUUUAUAGUGACGCUUCUGGAGUCGGGUUGGGUUGUGUUCUGACCCAAAGAGAAAAGGUGAUAGCAUACGCAUCUCGACAAUUGAAAGAGCACGAAAAGAACUACCCCACUCAUGAUCUGGAGUUGGCAGCGGUAGUUUUUGCCUUAAAGAUAUGGAGGCAUUACCUCUACGGCACGAAGUGCAAGCUCUUCACUGAUCAUAAGAGUCUCCAGUAUCUCUUUAAUCAGAAGGAGUUGAACAUGAGGCAACGACGCUGGCUAGAACUUCUCAAGGACUACGACUGUGAGAUACUUUACCACCCAGGUAAAGCAAAUAUUGUUGCUGAUGCUCUCAGUCGGAAAGUCAAUCUGGAAAGGAAAAGGCCAAGAGCGUUAAGAAUUGAAGUCGUCUCGACGAUUGUGGAAAGUAUCAGGAAAGCUCAAGAAGAAGCUUUAGAGAAAAAUGACCGAAAGGAAGAACGUUUGGGAAGAACGUUAGUGUUUGGUACAAACAGUCGAGGACUGAAGGUAUUCCAAGAUCGAAUUUGGGUACCUAAGACGGGAGGAAUAAGAGAUCUUCUGAUGGAAGAAGCACACAAGACCAUGUACUCGAUUCAUCCCGGUAGCACUAAAAUGUAUAGGGACCUAAAACCCUACUACUGGUGGCCGACGAUGAAGCUCGAUGUUGCGAAGUAUGUGGCCGAGUGCGUAACAUGUGCGAGGGUUAAGGCACAACAUCAGAAACCGUAUGGGAGUUUAGAACCUUUACCUGUACCCAUGGGUAAAUGGGAAGACAUCACCAUGGAUUUUGUGACUAAACUGCCCAGGACGAAGAACGGUCACGACAUGAUUUGGGUAGUCGUGGAUCGUUUCACCAAGAGUGCACACUUCAUAGCAGCCAACGAGAAGUGGUCUAUGGAUAAGCUCGCAAAUGCUUACGUGAAGGAAAUUGUAAGACUUCACGGUGUCCCUCUUACGAUUGUAUCAGAUCGUGAUAGUCGUUUCACGUCAAGGUUUUGGAGGAGUCUACAAGAGGAGUUAGGUACAAAGUUGUGUUUGAGUACUGCUUAUCAUCCGCAAACUGAUGGUCAGAGCGAAAGAACGAUUCAGACGCUGGAAGAUAUGCUGAGAGCAUGUACCCUCGAAUUCCAAGGGAAUUGGGACGAGCACUUACCUCUGGUAGAAUUUUCCUACAACAAUAGUUUUCACUCGAGCAUCAAGAUGGCUCCUUAUCAAGCCUUGUAUGGGCAGAAGUGUCGUACGCCGUCUUGUUGGCUUGAAGCCGGAGAGAAGCAGUUUAUGGGCCCCGAGAUAGUCCAUGAGACUGCUGAGAAGUUGAAGGUGAUUAGGGAAAGGAUGUUAGCAGCCCAGGAUCGUCAGAAGAGCUAUGCUGACAAGAAAAGACGACCGAUAACUUUCGAAGUUGGGGAUUCCGUUUUGCUUAAAGUCUCACCGUGGAAGGGACUUAUACGAUUUGGGAAACGAGGAAAGUUGAGUCCAAGGUUUAUUGGACCGUUCAAAGUUCUUCAGAAGAUAGGGAACCAAGCUUACAAGCUGGAAUUGCCCGAAGAACUCAAUGGUAUUCAUAACACCUUCCAUGUGUGUUAUUUGAGGAAAUUCACGGGAGAUGUUCCCGACAUAAUUCCAAUCUCAGAGUUAAGGAUGGAUGAAAAUAAAAGGUUGAUCGAAGAGCCUGAGGCAAUUGUUGACCGUAAGACUAAGAAGUUACGACGCAAGAUGGUCGACUUGGUGCUAGUCCGAUGGAAACAUUCGAAUGGGCCGAAUCUCACUUGGGAAACAGAGGAUGACAUGAUGAGUCGCUAUCCACAUCUGUUUGCUGAUGCAUGAUUCCGGGACGGAAUCAUCCUAAGGGGGAGAGAAUUGUAACGCCCGGGUUUCAGGGCUAAGCAUUUUUGUCAAUGUAAUAGUCUAGGUCAACUCUUGUAACUCUUUUUGAAGUAAUAAAGAUGAAAUAUUUGAGUAUUAUGUGAAUUAUAUGUGUUUAUUAUUUAAUUAUAAAUGUAUAAUUAAUAAAGAAUAAAAAUGAGCGUCAAAAUUAAAGUGUGAGAUAAUCCCGAUAUCUCUACAUAAAGUUGUAGAAUAUGUCUCAAGGUUUCCGUGCAUAUAAGGAACGCCGAAAUCCGAGUUAUAACGAAGAAGUUAUGACCCGUCGAAGUUUCACGACAGAACCGGCACGAUACCGGGAAGCGUGAAUAGUGAAUUUACGAUAGAGCGAGAUUUAGCCUUAGUGAUCUAAACGAAAGUCGUAGAAUAUGUUAAACUAAGAACAUCGAUAAAAAGAACGCCCAAAUCUGACUUCGUAUGAAGAAGUUAUGAGAUUUUAAACAGACCAAUCCUGUCCCGGCUUGUUAAAAAUAUAACUUUAAAAAUAAAGUCAAAAUUAGCCGACGGAGUCUAAACGAAAGUUGUAGAGUACGUCUUCACCUACGCGUGGAUAUAAAGAACGUCAAAAACGGAGUUCGUAUGAACGAGUUACAAAUUAUAAUAGCAUAUUUACGUAUUAAAAUAAAGUAUAAAUCAUGUAUACGUACACAUAUAUAUACAUAUGUAUAUAUCAUUAGAAAGGUAUCGACGAUGCGGUCAUUAUAAGACUAAUGUUGAGUUCUUUCGACAUUAGUUUAGUACAAAUAUCAUUAAAUCCAUUUAUAAUAGUAUUAUAGAGGGGUGUUUAGUUGUUUAUAUAACUAAAAGGUCAUUAAGUAAUUAUGGAGGGUAGUUUUUGAAAAUUCAAUUAGUAUAAAUAAGAGCCUUGGGCUCUCAUAUUUCUUGCACCAUUCUCUUGAUUCAAGAGUCUUUCUCUCCUUAUCCCCCGAGCAUUUCGGUCCCUCGUGAUUCGACUUCUCUUUCUGUAGCUUAGUAUAGUAAGGUGAGCGCUGAAGCGCUGCACGAAUCUUUCUUAGAAAGAUUCAGCGACGAAGUUCUGCCCCUGCAGAGCCCGACUCCUAGCUAAAACCCCCUUGUAAGUAAGUUAUGCUUACCUUAUUUUAAUAUAGCUUAUAUUUAAAAUUAGUAUUGUUAUUAUGAACUUAUAAUAAAUAUUUGAGCUAUUAUUAUAACUUAUAUAAGUGUCGUUAUAAUAUUUUUUUUAACUACUCGCGGUACGGGGAAUCUGGUUUAAAGGGCCGCAUAGGGUUGUUGGAUUUCAGAAGUGCUAUAUGCCAAAAUGGUCCUGCCCUCCGGUGUUUUAUGUCUGGCCCCUGUCUGUACAUAGUGGUUGGAAAAUAUUGUUUAACGCUUAUAUAAUAAUAAUAAUACUAAGACUAAUAGUUGGUCACGGUAAAUAUUAGACUAAAAUUUAGCGAUAAUAAUGCUAGGUUUCGUCGAAGGAAAAUAGAAUCGUUAGAAGCAAGCGCUGCCCGAUUUUGGAAUCAUCACCUUAACAAGUGAGUGCAUAGUUACUUUCAACUUACACAUAGAUAUGAAGUAUUUUAUAUAAAUUACGUGCUAUGUGUGCAUAUUAUCUGAAUACUUGCUAUCUAUGCUAGAUGAACGUUGUUAUACAUGUUUUCAAUGAUUUAAACUGUAUAUGUAUUUUAUAUCUACGAAAAUGUUGGGGUAAAACAUGGGUAGAUGCAAUAGGUGAUGUGUGAUAAAAUGAUGAGAGGCCUCGAUGUUGAUGUUGUUGAUUCUGUCAUCUAGCGGAGUAUGGAUGACGACCACGGACUCUUCUAGACAGUCCAGUGGAACACUAGCAGGCUCGCAACCUGUAGGUGUUUGUGAACGAUAUGUUCACCGGUGUACUCCAUCCCCCACAUGGUUGCCUUUAGGACAUUUAUUGCUGAGGAAUCCCCUUAGCAGUAGUGUCCGUCCCGAUGAUGAUCCUUAGGCUAGGUCCCUUAUGAUAGGUGUUUAGGGACGUAAAGUGAGGAUAACGGGAACGGGUAAUCGAAUCGGGUUAUUGUUGAUUGAUUAAUAAACUUAUUUAUUGUGGGUUGAAAACCCUAUGUGCUCACCAGGCUCCCAAGCCUGACCCACUCAGUUUUAUGUAUUACAGG
rnacentral:lncRNA from 1 species